rnacentral:rRNA from 1 species
GACGAACGCUGGCGGCGUGCUUAACACAUGCAAGUCGAACGGAAAGGCCCUGCUUUUGUGGGGUGCUCGAGUGGCGAACGGGUGAGUAACCCGUGAGUAACCUGCCCUUGACUUUGGGAUAACUUCAGGAAACUGGGGCUAAUACCGGAUAGGAGCUCCUGCUGCAUGGUGGGGGUUGGAAAGUUUCGGCGGUUGGGGAUGGACUCGCGGCUUAUCAGCUUGUUGGUGGGGUAGUGGCUUACCAAGGCUUUGACGGGUAGCCGGCCUGAGAGGGUGACCGGCCACAUUGGGACUGAGAUACGGCCCAGACUCCUACGGGAGGCAGCAGUGGGGAAUAUUGCACAAUGGGCGGAAGCCUGAUGCAGCAACGCCGCGUGCGGGAUGACGGCCUUCGGGUUGUAAACCGCUUUCGACUGUGACGAAGCGUGAGUGACGGUAAUGGGUAAAGAAGCACCGGCUAACUACGUG